ncrna:unclassified sequences RT-18 RNA
CGCCCCUUGGCGAAAAUUGCCCGAGACGGCGCGAGUUAGUAGCGAAGGCGAAAGCCCGCGAGGGCGAAGAAAG